AACGUAGGAGACGAACGUUAUCCGGAGUUACUGGGCGUAAAGGGCGUGUAGGCGGUUUGUUAAGUCUGGCGUGAAAGCUCUCGGCUAAACCGGGAGAGGUCGUUGGAUACUGGCGAACUAGAGGAUGGUAGAGGCGUGUGGAAUUCCGGGUGUAGUGGUGAAAUGCGUAGAGAUCCGGAGGAACACCAGCGGCGAAGGCGGCGUCCUGGACUGGUACUGACGCUCAGGAGCGAAAGCGUGGGGAGCGAUCCGG
rnacentral:rRNA from 1 species